rnacentral:rRNA from 1 species
UAACCGGCGAACGGGUGCGUAACACGUGAACAACCUGCCCUCGUGUGGGGGAUAGCCAUGCUAACGCGUGGGUAAUACCGCAUACGUUCCCUUGGAGGAGUCUCUGGGGGAGGAAAGCUCCGGCGCACGGGGAGGGGUUCGCGGCCUAUCAGCUAGUUGGCGGGGUAAUGGCCCACCAAGGCGACGACGGGUAGCUGGUCUGAGAGGAUGGCCAGCCACAUUGGGACUGAGAGACGGCCCAG